rnacentral:tRNA from 1 species
CCGACCUUAGCUCAGUUGGUAGAGCGGAAGACUGUAGUAGGCGAAAGUCAACAGAUAAAUCUUUAGGUCGCUGGUUCGAUUCCGGCAGGUCGGA